GACGAACGCUGGCGGCGUGCCUAAUACAUGCAAGUUGAGCGCUGAAGGUUGGUACUUGUACCAACUGGAUGAGCAGCGAACGGGUGAGUAACGCGUGGGGAAUCUGCCUUUGAGCGGGGGACAACAUUUGGAAACGAAUGCUAAUACCGCAUAAAAACUUUAAACACAAGUUUUAAGUUUGAAAGAUGCAAUUGCAUCACUCAAAGAUGAUCCCGCGUUGUAUUAGCUAGUUGGUGAGGUAAAGGCUCACCAAGGCGAUGAUACAUAGCCGACCUGAGAGGGUGGUCGGCCACAUUGGGACUGAGACACGGCCCAAACUCCUACGGGAGGCAGCAGUAGGGAAUCUUCGGCAAUGGACGAAAGUCUGACCGAGCAACGCCGCGUGAGUGAAGAAGGUUUUCGGAUCGUAAAACUCUGUUGGUAGAGAAGAACGUUGGUGAGAGUGGAAAGCUCAUCAAGUGACGGUAACUACCCAGAAAGGGACGGCUAGCUACGUG
rnacentral:rRNA from 1 species